rnacentral:rRNA from 1 species
CGCACGGGUGAGUAACACGUAUCCAACCUGCCGUCUACUCUUGGACAGCCUUCUGAAAGGAAGAUUAAUACAAGAUGGCAUCAUGAGUCCGCAUGUUCACAUGAUUAAAGGUAUUCCGGUAGACGAUGGGGAUGCGUUCCAUUAGAUAGUAGGCGGGGUAACGGCCCACCUAGUCUUCGAUGGAUAGGGGUUCUGAGAGGAAGAUCCCCCACAUUGGAACUGAGACACGGUCCAAACUCCUACGGGAGGCAGCAG